rnacentral:lncRNA from 1 species
UUAUGUUUUUUCUGGGAAAUCAACCUACUAAUAUUGUACUCAUACUUGUCUCUGCGUAUUAAUCUAGGAUAUCAGAAAGCUAUUUAGCACAGAAAAGAUUACAUCACCUUUAAAUCGCUGGAUUAAAUACUUAAUUACAUAAUAUGAUGUUUUCCCUUCAUUCUUUUUUUGAGCUUUCACUUCUCCAUCUUUCAUAUGCACAGUGUCUCAUAGCCUUAAAGUAGGAUUUUUGGUUGCCAUAAAAAUAAAGGUGUACAUAUGUUCCCAUUAUACUCAUUACAUGGGACUGUUUGCUGUGGAGAUUACAUAAAAUAAAAGCCCAAUUAUAAUUUUCUAAUUGCCGGUUUGUUCCGGUGUCUUUUGGAAACUUGUCUCCCUCAUAAUAUCAUUUUCUCUAAUUAUCCAUUCUUCACACCCUGUGUUCUUGGGUCUCAUUUUUGUCUCUUUUUUGUUCCACUUAGAAAUAUCGCAGCACAAACAGAAAGAUCACAGGAGUCACUGCACAACUACAGAAUCUGAUCGUCGAGACCUCAUAGAAAAUCUUACAGGUCUUUACACAGAGCAACGGUUUACAAAUGAAUGUUAUGAUACCUUUAUUUGGUUUACCAGCUAUUGUAAGUGAAGUACACAAUACAGAGCAAAGGAUCAACUGUUGUAGACGACUGCAAAGAGAGAAAGCAGAAUCGUGUCAAGAUGUUGACUGAUGAGGUCGCACAGGUGCAGGAGGUGAGAUACUGUCUGAAGACUCUGAGAGAGCAAAUGGCAGCCAGACAAAACAAUAAUAACAAUAAUAAGAUUCCAUCCAAUGGCUUUAAAGUUGACGUUCUUGUCAGCAAAGCCAAUGGCUCCAAUGGAUUGGUGAAUGGCUCUUUCACUAAAUGUCCGGUAAACUAUUUGUCAUAUAAAGAUUAUUCACUUGCGCCAUUAUAAAUACACACAUGAAUAGCAAGAAUGUAUAGGCUACUCACAAACACAAACAAACAGAGACACUCCCAUAGAAAGAGAGCGAAAGCAUUCAGUCCACUUGCUGUAUCACAUUUCAGUGGUUUUGGACAGAAUUGAAUGCCGUAUUGUGAGUAAAAAUAGCCCCUUUCCUCCAUUAAGGGUAUUAAUCAUUCAAUCUCAAAAACUUUUCGAACUAAAAUGAAUAACUUCUCUGUUUGAAAAUGGGAAGUCCUGUUCUCCUGUACAGACUCCCAAAUAAUAAAGAUAAUGGACAGUAGCAGAUACAGUUCAGACUCUUUAAUGAAAAUACGAUGACGUUCAUAGAUAAAUAAUUUGGCCAAAAAACAUUACCACAGUUUUGUUCAUUCUUGUUUCCGUGGUAAUGUGCUGAGAUUUGGGAGCGUACGCACAUUAACCUUUUGCUUCUGCCUGUGAAAAGUCACACCCAUGACAUGAUGCCCUUGGGAGCAGCAAUUGCCAAACUUGUGGCUGCUCAGUAAACAACCCGUCAUUAUGCCUUCAACUACACACCUACAGCGCCUCCCAUGCACACACAGUUUAUUUUUACUUAUUUAAUAAUAAUAAUUUUAUAUUUAUAUAUUAUAAGUCUAUGUUUUAUACCUCCCAUGUUUAUACCACAUCAUUUUGCUUCUUUUUAAAUGCUUUUUAAUAGAUUACAUUUUAUUUUACCCUUGUCCCAGAUUCAGAUUUGAAAAUAUGAAGAUCUAUCAUGAAAAUAUUUUUAUAAAUCGAUUACAUUCUUUAAAUAAAUGUUCUUUUCAAAAAUGUACCAAUUAUAUAAGAAUUUAUGAAAUAUACUGAAUAAAUAUAACUACACAUCUACAGCACCUCCCAUUUGCACAGAGUAUAUUUUUACUUAUUUAAAUAACAAUAAUAAUUUUAGUUUUUUCUACAAGCUAGAGUAAGAAUUGAAAGCAUAUACUAUACAAAAAAUAUACUAUAUAAAAAUUUCCCAUAUAACAAAUAUAUUAAAAGAGAAUAUGUACUAAAUAUAUGUACUAAAUUAUGAUGGAGUGUCCA